AGGAGGAACAACCCCACUGGCGGCGGCCAGCUCUCCAGGCCUGGAGUCAGCUCUCGCAGUAACUCCUGCAGCUCCCAGUCCGCAGGGGCCUGGUUUCUCCGGGCGGGG
rfam:Canis lupus familiaris chromosome X, whole genome shotgun sequence.